GCACUUGGGGGGUCUUUGAAACCUGUCAGGUUUCAUAUCUCUGCUUUGUGUGAAAAGAUCAUCACCUACAGUAGUCAGGGAUGUGCCUUUACUUACUGGUGCUCAUCUGUUGAAACUUUAUAUCUAGACAAUGGAAACAUUGAGGAGCAUUUCUGCUUUCAUGUAGCCUCUUAAUAAUUGACGCCCUAAAGCCCUGUGUCCUCAGGGAGAGUUCCUUUGAUUCCUGGGUGGUACCAGGUUUCAUGCUGUUAAAUCUGUAAAAACCUGCGCGUUAAUCUCCAUGAAUAUAAGACCUUGUUCUUUCUUAAAUGCCCCAAUUUUUUCUUCUCUUGUCUUAUAUUCUGAGCAGGAUUUCAAAUACUGUAUGUAAGGAAGUAGUGAGAGUGGGCAUCUUUAUCUUAAAAUAAAUCUUAGAAAAGAUUUCAACAUUUCACCACUGACAAUGUUAGCUAUGGGCUUGUCCUAUAGCUAAUAAAGAACGCAUCUCUUUAUUUUGAGGAAUAAAUCCAACUUGAUCAUAACAUCCAACUGUGUUGCCCAGGCUAGUCUCAAACUCCUGGAUUCAAGAGCCCCUCUCCUCUCAGCCUACGAAAGUGCUGGGAUUAAAGUCCUGAACUGACAGCCACAAGUGGCACCUGAACAGGGACUUGAACAAAGAAGGUCUGCUGGAGCAGAAAAAGUGAAACUGACCAGAUGAAUGAGAAACCCUGGGAUGAGUCUGCCUGCAGAGGAUAUAAGGAGAUGGAUAAACCGUGUGAGUGCCCUCAAGUUGUGUGCGACCAUGGAAUGGGAGACUGGAGGGAUACAUGGAUCCCAACUACAGGCCCAGCUCCUCCAGUAUGAGCCAUGAGCCAGUUGAAUCUGAAUGUGAAGAUGGAAUGAAGACCGACGAGAGUCACACUGACGUCAACCCUCAUAACAUGGGGUCAGAUCAAGAAAACCACACCAGAAGCUGAGAAACUGGUGUAGUGCCAGGGUCAGGCAAAAACCCCUGACUCCAUGUUUAUGGCCAUGCUAGCUGUAAUAUCCUGUGCAGUAUGAUUUUUCUGUGCAGAAGCAAAAACAUAUUGGGCAUAUUUUCCUAACCCACCGGUAGUGUGAUCAUACUCUGAAGCAGCACUCCUCCUGAGAUAUAUCAUGAUCAAGGAGCAUCAGUACCAGGACCUCUAACUCCCCCUGACACAGAGCAAUUAGACUCUCAUAACAAUGGUAUCAAUUAUACCACUCCAUUGGAGGGACUUCCUUUAUGUGUCACCCAGGAUACAUUGCUCAACUGCAGUUGCCUUGCAGUUUGAUCCCAAGCAUGGUUGAGUUACCAUUAAAAAAUUAUGUACCUAUUAGACCUUAGCUUUAUUAAUAUUACUUGUGUAGUUACUAAUCACUCCUGGCCCCAUCACCCAAAUUGUACUGAUUAUACAGAAUGGGCUCCCUUUGAUAAUUCUCACCCCCCUCCUUGGGCCCACUGUCUUGGCCCCUUAGCUAGACAAUAGUCCAUGUUAAUGGGAGACAUUAUUGACUGGGGUCCCUGUGGUCAUUAAGAUGGGAGAGAUGAGAAUCAGACCACAUGGCAUAAACUUCACUGGCACUGGUGGCGAAACUUUAACAUCUCUUCACUUCAACACACUGGGAUUCAAUCCCAAUCUGCCAUGCAACUUGCUUGGCAUGGAACGGGCUUUAGCCCACCUUUGCCUCAAUGGCAUUAUCAAGGAAAGAGAGGUCCAAUUCAGGAGUCUAUGUGGAAGGCAGCACUCCCAUAUAUGAAUGGCAGCAUUUGGGUUGGGACACUAUCCAAUAAUAGUAAUAGUGCUCAAUACAGUUUAAUGUUACCUUUGUAAAAAAUGUUUGAAAUUUGUGUUUUUAAUCCCUAUGUUUUUCUAGCAGCAAAAAAGGACCAACUCCAGGUAAACAAUGCCCAAUUGAAUUGUGAUUCCUGUCAACUCUAUCAUUGCCUUAAUCAUAGCACAAUACAAACACACAGCAUAUCCACCCUAAUAAUUCUAGGUCGCAUUCCUGGAUUAUGGAUUCCUGUAAAUCUAUCUGAGCCUUGGGCAGCCACCCCCACUUUACAUUUUGUAAAACUUCUUACUCAGCUUACUCAUGGCACUCGUAGAGCCUUAGGCAUGAUAAUUUUUACUAUAGUCUCCUUAAUUACAUUAAUACCCUCUGUUGUGGUGUCCUCAGUAGCACUGGACAGCUCCACUCAAACAGCUCAAUAUGCAGAAAAUUGGAUGCAUACAGCUGACCAGGCAUGGAUGUUUCAAAAUAAAACUAACACUGAGAUACAAACAGAAGUGGCAAUGUUAAAGACUACUGUUCUGUGGCUAG
rnacentral:lncRNA from 1 species